rnacentral:lncRNA from 1 species
AUGUCUUCUGCUCUGGUUUACAGAGAAAUUUUCCGUGCUGGCUCCCUGCUUCAGCCUCAGCCUGCUGCAGCUGGAAUGGUUGUUCCAAACACAAGGAUGCCCCUGUCCCUCCUGAACCCCAGUCCUUCAAUGGUCCCACAAACCCCAGGAGAAGAUGAAAGAGGGAUUCCACCAUUUGGCGCUGCUUUACCUCCUGGUUUCAGCCCUUUUCCUCUCCCUCAGCGGGUCCUGGCCGGCCCGGACCACACUCCAUUCCACUCUCGCCACCCUCACGGGACGACGUCUGUUCUCCCCGUGCCCAGGGACCCAGGGCUCAGUCCCGCUCCUGUUUGUAAGGGCCCCCUCCGGGGUCACGGCGGGAGGUUGGGGGGGGGGGGGGGCGUUCCUUCCCGAGGCGGCCGCCAGGGGGCGGCAGUAGCGGCUCCAGAUGACAGCGGGAGGCCGCCGGUGGGGGAGGGAGGAGGGACCGAGGGAGCGCGGAUCCCGGUUCUCCCGGUCGCAAACUUCGAGCCACAGCUUUCCGCGCGCGCCCGAGCCUCUGGCCGCCCGCGCAGCCCGACGCCGAACCGGGGCGCAGCGGGAGCCCGUGCAGGGCGGGCGCGGGGCGGAGGCGGCGGCCGUCCAUGCGGCGGGCUCGGGGCUGCCCGGCGCCGGGAAGCACGCGGGGGCGAGGCGAGGCGGCCGCCGGCCGCUCCGGGACGCGGACCGCCAGGUGAGCAGAGCCGCCCGCGCCCCCUGCGCCCCGCCCGCGCGGCCCCGACCCGGCCCGGCCGCUGUCCUCCUCCCGGGCCCGCUCUGGACCUCGGGGCGACGGCGCGGGCGGCGGGCGCAGUGGGUGUGUCCGGGGAGCGGGGGGCUGCGCCCGCACCGGGCUUGGGGAGCCAGCGCGCGCUUGGUCCCAGCCGACGGCUGCGCCGCCUCUCCCUCCUUUCCCUUCUCUUCCCUUCCCGGGGGAUCUGCUGUGUCCCGGCGCCAGCACGCACUCCUCCACUCUCCAACUCUGAAACUCUAGAGACAGCCAACCUGGGCCGUCCUGUAGUCGGGGCCCCGCGCUCCCCGGGUCGGGGCGGAGGGGGGCCGGCGAGUGCACACCCAGCCCGUGCGCCUCGACCCCUGCCUCGCCUUCCUUCUGCCCCGGGCCGGAGAGCUGAUCCGGUCUCGGUCGGCGCGCAUCGAGCCCCAGCCCGGGGCCUCGGCCACGCCGUUUUCUAG